rnacentral:rRNA from 1 species
UACGUAGGGUGCAAGCGUUGUCCGGAAUUAUUGGGCGUAAAGAGCUCGUAGGCGGUUUGUCGCGUCUGCUGUGAAAACCCGAGGCUCAACCUCGGGCCUGCAGUGGGUACGGGCAGACUAGAGUGCGGUAGGGGAGAUUGGAAUUCCUGGUGUAGCGGUGGAAUGCGCAGAUAUCAGGAGGAACACCAAUGGCGAAGGCAGAUCUCUGGGCCGUAACUGACGCUGAGGAGCGAAAGCAUGGGGGAGCGAACAG